rnacentral:lncRNA from 1 species
GAUUUUGAUCCCAAAUUGCAUGUAUUAAGUCAUUAUUAAUUUAUCUCACAUUUCUUAUUAAUCAAAGACAUAGAUAGCUGCCCCUCAGAGCUUCUGAUCUGUGUGACCAGCUGGGAGCUGCACGUGGUUGACAUAAUUCCAGCCAGAGGCAAAGGAACUCCGCAAUGUGUGUGGUCUGGGUGGCCUGAGAAGGUCUAAAUGUAGAUGCAUCGUCCUCCUUUUCUUUUCAUCGGCCAUGAGCCUUGCCUGGGUGGGGGCUGCUUUCACAGUCACUCACUGAUGGGCCAGAGGCUGAGUUUUCAGUGCCAGGCUCUAGCAAGGGUCCCCGUGCGGGUCCCAGACUCCUCCUCCCACAGAACUCACUCCAAAUAGAUGGCAUGCACCAGCACCACGCAGAAGAGCGUGGGGUUCACCUAGUGGGACGUGGCAGAGCUGUCUUCAUGCGGGUCCCACAGGCUCUGGCUGGAGAUUGCCAUGUUGUCCUACCCCUCGCUCCUGAUGCUGACAGAGCACACUAGCUUGUAGCCGGGCCGGGUGACAGCCGUGACGAGGUCCCAGGUCGCGGUGCUCAGCACCACUGCCAGAGAUUAACCUGGCUUCCAAGUGGCUCAGCCUAUAUGUGCCCUGGGGCCCAUGGCCCUGACUCCCCUCGCUCUCCCUGCACCCCUAGGCCACUGGCCCCCACCUGCUCCUGGAUGAUGCUGACGGGGCCGUGGUGAGUCAGCUGGGGCUGAGACAGUGUUCUCAAGGAUGUGCGCUUCUGCAAGUGAAGAUGAGCGUGGAGGGGCAGCAGGAGUCUCUGUCAAGAAGUGACAACCCUCAGAGAGCUGCCCCCGAACCUCCAGAAUGUCUCCACUGGCUCCAGCUGGCCAGCCCUGAAGCCUGUCCAAGUCUCCCCGUGUUAACAGAACAGAGCGACAGCCUGCCUCCCCUCACGGCUGCAGAGGAGCGCCCAGCCAUCGCAGCCUCUGGCUCCCUGGAAUGCCGCCCCCUGCCUCCCUCCCCUCGCCCUCCACCCACUGCCGUCCUGCACCCAGCACGUGCUCUCCAUAAGUCCCUGGUGUACAGAGGUCAUUUUUCAGCAGCGUUGGAUGCCGUUGUCAAUUCCCUCCUUUCGGAGCCUCAGUUUCCUCAAUGGCAUAAUUCCUACCUCACUAGAUUACCCUGAGGACUAAGUAACUCCUUCAUUCAUGUUUUCGGCAAACAUUUCUGAACACCCGCUUGUGUGCAGGCUUUCUGCUGGGCUCUUGAGGACCCUGACUUUGGAGAUGGCCACAGUCUCCCGGGGGCCACAGAUGCUGGUAUAAACAAUGUGAAGAGCCUGGCACUCUGCCUGUGACAUAGUAGACACUCAGUGUGUGUGGGGCUCUGUCGUGUCUUUCUGCCCCCUCUGGGCCUCAGUUUCCAUAGCCAGAAAUGGAUAGGAAGAGGGGGUUGGACUUGCUCUCUGAAGUCCCCUCCAGCCCUGGUGGCCCAAGGCCCUGGGCCCCACUUCUCAGGCUGCCUCGUGUGUCCCCUACCCCCAGCCCGUCCCUCUCACCUUGAGCUCCCAGGUGAGCCUGUGAGCAGGGAGGAGGCUGCCGAGGCCAAGCAUGGCAGCUUCUACUUCUGGACUCUCUGAAGCUUGGCUGCUCCCUUCUUAACGGGGGACCUGAUGAGGGAGCACUGCUCCCCUGCCCAGGAUGGGCUGUGGCCUGAGAGGAACAUAGGUGGGCAGGUUGGAGGCAGGAGGGACCUGGCUUCUCAAGGAGGAAGGCUGCAGGGUGCUUGGCCCACUCAGCCACUCCAGGCAUCCCCAACCCUCGGCCCCAGUCGCGCCCAGUGCCGACCUCCUCUUCCUCCCUACACAUGGUCUCGGCAAGGGUAGAACCAGUGUCGGGGUGGGAAGGCAGGCCUCUGAGCUGGUCAGGCGUAGGUUCAAGUGUCUGCUCUGUGCACGAGCAGCUGUGUGAUCUCGGGCAAAUCACCUCACUUCUCUGAACACCACUUUCCUCCUCCCUAAGCUGGGGACACUUCUAUUCCAUCUCUCAACAGAUAUCCCCAAGUGCUUAAUCUAUGCUGUGGACUGAAAGACAGCGGCAACAGCGUGCAGACCCCUGCUGUCCCAGUAGUGGCGUGCUGGGGGAGACAGAUGGCUGACAGCCAGGGCCUCACAGGGCAGUCCUGAUCCAGGGCUGUUUGGAAAUGUUGGGGACACUAACACCUCCUCACAGAGCUGCGAGGCUCGAGUGGGAUAAGGUGCACAAGGUAGCACGCGUUGGCCUGGCAGAUGGUGGGUGCUCAAUCAGUGCUUGUUGGAUAAAUGAACCAAUAAAAGCACUUCUCUCUGAGCCCUGAUUACCAGUGAAAUGGAGCUGAGGGUCCUUUCCUUGGAAAGUUGUUAUAAAGGUUUCUAACUUUGUUUAAAUUAAUGAAUUUAAAUUAAUAAAUAGAGCUUACUACA